CGAAGGUGGCAAGCGUUACUCGGAAUUACUAGGCGUAAAGGGCAGGUAGGUGGUGUGGAAAGUCUGUUGUGUAAGCUCCCGGCUUAACCGGGAGAGGUCAACAGAAACUACCAUGCUGGAGUAUAGGAGAGGGUACUGGAAUUCCCGGUGUAGCGGUGAAAUGCGCAGAGAUCGGGAGGAACACCAAUGGCGAAAGCAGGUACCUGGACUAUUACUGACACUGAGCUGCGAAAGCUAGGGGAGCAAACAGGAUUAGAUACCCUGGUAGUCCUAGCCGUAAACGAUGCACAUUAGUCGUGAGGGGUAUCGACCCCCUUCGUGACGACGCAAACGCAUUAAAUGUGCCGCCUGGGGAGUACGGCCGCAAGGUUG
rnacentral:rRNA from 1 species